rnacentral:rRNA from 1 species
AUUGAACGCUGGCGGCAGGCUUAACACAUGCAAGUCGAGCGGAGCGAGGGUGCUUGCACCUUAGCUUAGCGGCGGACGGGUGAGUAAUGCUUAGGAAUCUGCCUAUUAGUGGGGGACAACAUUCCGAAAGGAAUGCUAAUGCCGCAUACGCCCUACGGGGGAAAGCAGGGGAUCUUCGGACCUUGCGCUAAUAGAUGAGCCUAAGUCGGAUUAGCUAGUUGGUGGGGUAAAGGCCUACCAAGGCGACGAUCUGUAGCGGGGCUGAGAGGAUGAGCCGCCAAACUGGGACUGAGACACGGCCCAGAGUCCUACGGGAGGCAGCAGUGGGGAAUAUUGGACAAGGGGCGGAAGCCUGAUCCAGCCAUGGCGCGUGUGAGAAGAAGGCCUUUUGGUUGUAAAGCACUUUAAGCGAGGAGGAGGCUACUUAGAUUAAUACUCUGGGAUAGUGGACGUUACUCGCAGAAUAAGCACCGGCUAACUCUGUGCCAGCAGCCGCGGUAAGAC